rnacentral:tRNA from 1 species
GGUUCUGUCGAUUAACUGGUUAAGUCAGUAGCCUGUCACGCUACAGUUACGGGUUCGAGUCCCGUCGGAAUCGCCA